UACGAAGGGUGCAAGCGUUACUCGGAAUUACUGGGCGUAAAGCGUGCGUAGGUGGUUUUUUAAGUCCGUUGUGAAAGCCCUGGGCUCAACCUGGGAAUGGCAGUGGAUACUGGAAAGCUAGAGUGCGGUAGAGGGUAGUGGAAUUCCCGGUGUAGCAGUGAAAUGCGUAGAGAUCGGGAGGGACACCAGUGGCGAAGGCGGCUACCUGGACCAGCACUGACACUGAGGCACGAAAGCGUGGGGAGCAAACAGG
rnacentral:rRNA from 1 species